AGCCCCGUCGUAUAGCCGGUCAAGUAUGCGAGCCUUUGGAGCUCGAGACCUCGGUUCGAAUCCGAGCGGGGCUA
rnacentral:tRNA from 1 species